GUAACGUCAAGACCCAGAGGUAUUAUCCCUAGGCUUUUCUUCUCUACUGAAAGUGCUUUACAACCCGCAGGCCUUCUUCACACACGCGGCAUUGCUGAAUCAGGGUUGCCCCCAUUGUUCAAUAUUCCCC
rnacentral:rRNA from 1 species